AAGUGAAAAUGUUGGGAUAACACUUUGAUUCAAGUGGGAUUAAAUUCUUGAGCAAGUCAUUAUCCUAAUUCUACAAAAAAAACUCACGCACACCCUCCCUUCUCCUCCCCAUUCUCGGCCUCCCCUCUCUCUCUCUAUACUCUCUUUUCCUCCAUUGAUGUCCAUUGAAGAAAGCUUAGAGAAGCUUCAUCAAACACUACUAUGAGAUAAUCCACCAUCCAAUCCAAUCAAAUACCAUCAUAUCUCAUCAAAUUCAAGAAGCUAGAGCUAAGAUCAAAGUUGGAGCAAAGUCUUGAUCACCUUUUGAAUCCAUGAACACGAGCAGAGCAAGGAAGUAAGUAACUCCACUUUGACGAGAGAUUUUGAGUAAGGUCUUCAGGAUAAGCGGAGGGGGAGUAUGGUGCGGUGCUGGUGGAGAAUGUUUCGGGUUGACGUUUUCUUUCUCUAUCGUAUGUCUGUUUUGUCGAUAGAGUUUUGAUAUGAAGUUAUGUUAAAUAGAGUUUGAUGUUUAAGAUACUUAGUUUCCUUUGAAAAUCAAGCAUUUUACUCACGAUUAUGUGUCUUCAUACAUAUAGUCGGUUCACCUUUUGUUGUCACACUCUGAAUAUUAUGAUUCUACAUAAAAAUUGAGUUACCCUUGUUUUGCUUUUCAUGUUGAGAUUCCCGAUAUUUAUCGAGUUAUGACGAUGUUGACGGAUAUACCCUUUUGAUGAAUUAUGAUAAUCUUUCCUUAGCAUGUUUCUUCGUGAGUUUUCGCUGUUGAUCUAUGUAUUCUUUCUA